rnacentral:rRNA from 1 species
UACGGAGGGGGCUAGCGUUGUUCGGAAUUACUGGGCGUAAAGCGCACGUAGGCGGCUUUGUAAGUUAGAGGUGAAAGCCCGGGGCUCAACUCCGGAAUUGCCUUUAAGACUGCAUCGCUAGAAUUGUGGAGAGGUAAGUGGAAUUCCGAGUGUAGAGGUGAAAUUCGUAGAUAUUCGGAAGAACACCAGUGGCGAAGGCGACUUACUGGACACAUAUUGACGCUGAGGUGGCGAAAAGCG